rnacentral:rRNA from 1 species
UACGUAGGGGGCAAGCGUUGUCCGGAAUUAUUGGGCGUAAAGAGCGUGUAGGCGGCUUGAUAAGUCCGCUGUGAAAGUCCAGGGCUCAACCCUGGAAGGCCGGUGGAAACUGUCGGGCUAGAGUCCGGAAGAGGCGAGUGGAAUUCCCGGUGUAGCGGAGAAAUGCGCAGAUAUCGGGAGGAACACCAAUGGCGAAGGCAGCUCGCUGGGACGGUACUGACGCUGAGACGCGAAAGCGUGGGGAGCAAACAGG